AGUCGAGCGGUAACAUUUCUAGCUUGCUAGAAGAUGACGAGCGGCGGACGGGUGAGUAACGCGUAGGAAUCUGCCUAGUAGUGGGGGACAACAUGUGGAAACGCAUGCUAAUACCGCAUACGCCCUACGGGGGAAAGGAGGGGAUCUUCGGACCUUUCGCUAAUAGAUGAGCCUGCGUGAGAUUAGCUAGUUGGUGGGGUAAAGGCCUACCAAGGCGUCGAUCUCUAGCUGGUCUGAGAGGAUGAUCAGCCACACUGGGACUGAGACACGGCCCAGACUCCUACGGGAGGCAGCAGUGGGGAAUAUUGGACAAUGGGCGCAAGCCUGAUCCAGCCAUGCCGCGUGUGUGAAGAAGGCCUUAGGGUUGUAAAGCACUUUCAGGAGUGAGGAAGGGUAUGCAGUUAAUACCUGUAUAUUUUGACGUCAACUCCAGAAGAAGCACCGGCUAACUCUGUGCCAGCAGCCGCGGUAAUACAGA
rnacentral:rRNA from 1 species